UGGGAAUUUUGGACAAUGGGCGCAAGCCUGAUCCAGCCAUGCCGCGUGCGGGAAGAAGGCCUUCGGGUUGUAAACCGCUUUUGUCAGGGAAGAAAUCUUCUGAGUUAAUACCUCGGGAGGAUGACGGUACCUGAAGAAUAAGCACCGGCUAACUACGUGCCAGCAGCCGCGGUAAUACGUAGGGUGCAAGCGUUAAUCGGAAUUACUGGGCGUAAAGCGUGCGCAGGCGGUUUUGUAAGACAGAGGUGAAAUCCCCGGGCUCAACCUGGGAACUGCCUUUGUGACUGCAAGGCUUGAGUGCGGCAGAGGGGGGAUGGAAUUCCGCGCGUAGCAGUGAAAUGCGUAGAUAUGCGGAGGAACACCGAUGGCGAAGGCAAUCCCCUGGGCCUGCACUGACGCUCAUGCACGAAAAGCGUGGGGAGCAAAACAGGAUUAGAUA
rnacentral:rRNA from 1 species